rnacentral:rRNA from 1 species
UACGAAGGGGGCUAGCGUUGCUCGGAAUCACUGGGCGUAAAGCGCACGUAGGCGGAUCUUUAAGUCAGGGGUGAAAUCCCAAGGCUCAACCUUGGAACUGCCUUUGAUACUGGGGAUCUCGAGUCCGGAAGAGGUGAGUGGAACUGCGAGUGUAGAGGUGAAAUUCGUAGAUAUUCGCAAGAACACCAGUGGCGAAGGCGGCUCACUGGUCCGGUACUGACGCUGAACAGCGAAAGCUAGGGGAGCAAACGGG